GGGAUAACACAUACAAAUGUGUGCUAAUACCGCAUAAUAGUAUUUGAUGCAUAUCAGAUACUUGAAAGGCGCAAUUGCGUCACUAGAAGAUGGCCCCGCGGUGCAUUAGCUAGUUGGUGAGGUAACGGCUCACCAAGGCAAUGAUGCAUAGCCGACCCGAGAGGGUGAUCGGCCACACUGGGACUGAGACACGGCCCAGACUCCUACGGGAGGCAGCAGUAGGGAAUCUUCGGCAAUGGACGCAAGUCUGACCGAGCAACGCCGCGUGAGUGAAGAAGGUUUUCGGAUCGUAAAACUCUGUUGUAAGAGAAGAACGUUGAUGAGAGUGGAAAGUUCAUCAAGUGACGGUAUCUUACCAGAAAGCCACGGCUAACUACGUGCCAGCAGCCGCGGUAAUACGUAGGUGGCAAGCGUUGUCCGGAUUUAUUGGGCGUAAAGCGAGCGCAGGCGGUUGAUUAAGUCUGAUGUGAAAGCCCCCGGCUCAACCGGGGAGGGUCAUUGGAAACUGGUCAACUUGAGUGCAGAAGAGGAGAGUGGAAUUCCAUGUGUAGCGGUGAAAUGCGUAGAUAUAUGGAGGAACACCAGUGGCGAAGGCGGCUCUCUGGUCUGUAACUGACGCUGAGGCUCGAAAGCGUGGGGAGCGAACAGGAUUAGAUACCCUGGUAGUCCACGCCGUAAACGAUGAGUUGCUAAGUGUUGGAGGGUUUCCGCCC
rnacentral:rRNA from 1 species